GACGAACGCUGGCGGCGUGCCUAAUACAUGCAAGUAGAACGCUGAAGGAGGAGCUUGCUUCUCUGGAUGAGUUGCGAACGGGUGAGUAACGCGUAGGUAACCUGCCUGGUAGCGGGGGAUAACUAUUGGAAACGAUAGCUAAUACCGCAUAAUAGUAGAUGUUGCAUGACAUUUGCUUAAAAGGUGCAAUUGCAUCACUACCAGAUGGACCUGCGUUGUAUUAGCUAGUUGGUGGGGUAACGGCUCACCAAGGCGACGAUACAUAGCCGACCUGAGAGGGUGAUCGGCCACACUGGGACUGAGACACGGCCCAGACUCCUACGGGAGGCAGCAGUAGGGAAUCUUCGGCAAUGGACGGAAGUCUGACCGAGCAACGCCGCGUGAGUGAAGAAGGUUUUCGGAUCGUAAAGCUCUGUUGUAAGAGAAGAACGGGUGUGAGAGUGGAAAGUUCACACUGUGACGGUAUCUUACCAGAAAGGGACGGCUAACUACGUGC
rnacentral:rRNA from 1 species